rnacentral:rRNA from 1 species
AUGGUCACUUGGUAUGAUUUGCGACUACAGUUGCAAAAUCAUCAAACUAUUAAUUGUGUAGCGCUGCGACAACUUGAGAAAAAAAAGGACCAUUGGAGAAAGGUUCUAUUUAGAAUUCUUUUGAUGGUAAAAUUUCUUGCGAAACACAAUCUUGCAUUUCGUGGUACUAACUCGACAUUGUAUCAAGAUAAUAAUGGAAAUUUCUUAGGCUUGGUUGAAAUGCUAGCUGAGUUCGACCCAAUUAUUCAGGAGCAUGUUAGGCGCAUAACAAACAAUGAAACUCAUGUUCAAUACCUUGGUCAUGGGAUACAAAAUGAGUUAAUACAUUUGCUUGCUUCUUCAAUUAAGUCAGAGAUAAUUAAAAAAAUAAAAGAAGCAAAGUAUUUUUCCGUGAUACUUGAUUGUACCCCUGAUGCGAGCCACCAAGAACAAAUGUCUCUGAUAAUACGAUAUGUCAAUGCAUCUUCGACUUUUGUUUCCAUUGAGGAAUCAUUUUUAGGAUUUUUGGAUGUCAAUGAUACAACUGGGCAAGGGCUUUUUGAUGUUUUGCAGGAAGAACUACGGAAUCUUGACCUGGAUCUAGAUGAUGUGAGAGGACAGAGCUACGAUAAUGGUGCAAAUAUGAAAGGUAAGAAUAAUGGUGUUCAAAGGAAACUUUUGGAUAAAAAUCCUAGAGCUUUUUAUUCAGCAUGUGGUUGUCAUAGUAUUAAUUUGACACUUUGUGACAUGGCAAAAACUUGUGGUAAAGCAAAGGACUUUUUUGGAAUCAUACAACGCAUCUACACAACAUUUGCUAAUUCAACUAAAAAGUGGCAGAUCUUGAAAGAUAAUAUAGAUGAUACAACAGGAUUGACUCUCAAGUCGUUGUCAUCUACUCGUUGGGAGAGUCGAAUAGAUAGUGUUAAAGCUAUAAGAUUUCAGAUUUCGAACAUACGAGAAGCUUUACUGCAAGUAUCUGAUAUUGAUAAUGAUCCAAAAACUAGCAGUGAAGCUAAAUCUCUCGCGAAUAAUGAACUUGGUGAUUUUGAAUUUUUAGUAGCUAUUGUUAUUUGGUAUGAAAUACUGUAUGCCGUCAAUCUGGUCAGCAAGAACUUACAAUCAAAGGAUAUGCUUAUUGAUGUUGCUAUUGAGCAAGUGUAG